UAGGGAAUCUUCGGCAAUGGGGGGAACCCUGACCGAGCAACGCCGCGUGAGUGAAGAAGGUUUUCGGAUCGUAAAGCUCUUUUGUUAAGGAAGAACGAGUGUGAGAAUGGAAAGUUCAUGCUGUGACGGUACUUAACCAGAAAGGGACGGCUAACUACGUGCCAGCAGCCGCGGUAAUACGUAGGUCCCGAGCGUUGUCCGGAUUUAUUGGGCGUAAAGCGAGCGCAGGCGGUUAGAAAAGUCUGAAGUGAAAGGCAGUGGCUCAACCAUUGUAGGCUUUGGAAACUGUUUAACUUGAGUGCAGAAGGGGAGGGUGGAAUUCCAUGUGUAGCGGUGAAAUGCGUAGAUAUAUGGAGGAACACCGGUGGCGAAAGCGGCUCUCUGGUCUGUAACUGACGCUGAGGCUCGAAAGCGUGGGGAGCGAACAGG
rnacentral:rRNA from 1 species